GACUUUAUAUUGUUGAACAUCAGACUCAAGGUCAACAACUGACUACUUUGAAAACGGGAAGUAGACAAUUGUUGAUCUUGGGCCCAAUGUUCAACAAUAUAAAGUU
rnacentral:miRNA from 1 species